rnacentral:tRNA from 1 species
GAGACUUAGCUCAGUUGGUUAGAGCAAUCGGCUCAUAACCGAUCGGUCCUGGGUUCGAGUCCCUGAGUCUCC